GGGACAUAGUCUACUGAGGCAUCAUCAAUCCUACCUUUGAAGGGGAGCCCUCCAAGGGCUCAGACUAUCUUCCAUUAAACAGCACUGUUCUCUGGUCUUAGUUACCCCUCCACACCCAGAGAUUGAGAAACCACCUCAGUCCAUACCCAUGCUGACUGCUACCACCUCUGUGAAAACUUCUCCCCAUCUUCUUCCCAAAUGGCCACACCUGAGGUCAAUCUUGACUUCCUCCCACAACCAGGAUCCUCUCCCCUAAGGAGCUAUCGGUCACUGAUCCGAGGGCCAGGACUCUUUUCCCAAAUCUGCCCUCCUUUAUCCCCAGCCCCAUUGAAGCAGGGCCCACCACUGAGAGCUUCAGGCCAUCUCAUCAAUAUUAGAUGCUUUUCCCUUUUGCUACCCUACUGAUCUGUGUGUUGAUCUUUCUCUUCCCACAAGGCAGCUGCUGGAGGAGGUGAAGUGGCAUCGAUGUCAUCUUUGAAAAGUUUCUACUUUGUCCCUUAAUGCCACCCUAACGUAUGAGCCUCUGCUUCAGAGGUUUGCAAGCCUGGCUGCGUAUUAGAGUCACCUAGGAGCUUAAGUGGCUUUUGAUGCAUUUCCAAGUAGAAUAAGGUCACACCUGGGUCCUGAGCUGGCGCCAUCACCGGAGACGCCAGGUGAUGUCCAUUCAUCAGAAAUAAUGAGCAAAGCAGCUGUGGCUUCUAAUCAGCCCAUCCCUCCAGGGUGUCAGAUGGAGGCCAAUUAGCGGACGCACUAGACAACCAAAUUCUGCCUUUCCAAGCAAAACAUCAGAAAAUGUUCUAGCCCUUAGCAUUGAUGCUGGAACCCAGUGUCUUGCUUCUGCUUGGGUUUUCAUGAUCUUUCCUUGCUCUGGGUGAGCUGGGGGCUGGUUCUACAUCAGAACCUUCAGAGGCACUAAGAAAUGCCACCUGGAGUGGAGUUAAAGAAGUUAUUAUUUUUUUUUAACUUCUACUAUUGUCAGAGGCGGGUGAACCAGAGCAACUCCAUUUUGAAUAGGGGCUGGAUAAAAUGAGGCUGAGACCUAUUGGGCUGCAUUCCCAGAUGGUUAAGGCAUUCUAAGUCACAGGAUGAGAUGGGAGGUUGGCACAAGAUGCAGGUCAUAAAGACCUUGCUGAUAAAACAGGUUGCAGUGAUGGCCGGGCGCGGUGGCUCACGCCUGUAAUCCCAGCACUUUGGGAGGCUGAGGCGGGCGGAUCACGAGGUCAGGAGAUCGAGACCAUCCUGGCUAACACGGUGAAAUCCCAUCUCUACUAAAAAUACAAAAAAGUAGCCGGAUAUGGUGGCGGGCACCUGCAGUCCCAGCUACUCGGGAGGCUGAGGCAGGAGAAUGGCGUGAACCCGGGAGGCGGAGCUUGCAGUGAGCCGAGAUAGCGCUACUGCACUCCAGCCUGGGUGACAGCAAGACUCCGUUUCAAAAAAUAAAUAAAUAAAUAAAUAAAUAAAUAAAUAAAACAGGUUGCAGUGAAGAAGCCGGUUAAAACCCACCAAGACCAAGAUGGCGACGAGAGUGACCUCUGGUCGUCCUCACUGCUACACUCCCACCAGCUUCAUGACAGUUUACAAAUGCCAUGGCAACGUCAGGAA
rnacentral:lncRNA from 1 species